GAUUGGAGAGGUACUGAGAGGAAAGACAAAAAAUUGGAUGACAUUAUGACUUGGCUUGAAUGGGUUCUCUCGUAUUCGCUUUUGCGAAUUGCUGAGAGUAAUCCUCCAUGUUUGGAUAAUUUUUGGUUCAGUCAGGGUGCUACAUUGUUGCUCAGUUUGAUGCAGAGUUCACAAGAGGAUGUUCAGCAGGAAAGGGCAGCUACAGGGCUUGCUACUUUUGUGGUUAUUGAUGAUGAGAACACAAGCAUUGAUGGGUAACGAGCCGAAGCAGUUAUGCGGGGUGGGGGUGUGCAGCUUCUCCUUAGUCUUGCCGGCUCGUGGUGAGAAGGAUUGCAAGCAGAGUUUGCCAAGGCAAUAGCGAAUUUGUCCGUCAAUGCUAAUGUUGCGAAAGCUGUAGCUGAUGAAGGAGGCAUCACUAUCCUUGCAAAUAAAAAAUGAGUACUUGGACUAUCUUAUGAUGCUUCAUUGUUAAUGCAAAUAAAAAAUCUACACUUUAAGUAGUUUAUUAAUGAGUGAUUGGAGCACUUUUUGCAGCUUGUAUAUUUAUCAUUUUAAUAUUUUAUAUUUUGCAGUACUUUGGCGGAGUUACAACUGAAUUUUCUCAAAAUAAGCUUGAUGAGCUCAAGACUUGUGUAUCAAAGAUGUGGAUGAAUAUAAACAAGUGGAUCAACAAGAAUCGGAAGAUAAUGACCAUUUUAAUUAGGAUGUGUGAUUUUCUUUUUGAGUAGGAAUAGGGAGGUGCUUCUAUUUUUGUGCAUAUGAAUUGGAAGAAAUAGGCCUAGCUGCUCUAUUAUUUUUUUUAUAACCAAUUAGUUGAAUUUUUGGAAUCUUCUAACAUUAUAUUGAUAUCAAUGUGAUUUUGUAGUGAAUGAUAUUGAAUGAAUGAAAAGAUAUUCCAAUUUUAAA